GUUGAAAAGCUCGUAGUUGGAUUUUGGGACGACGCGUCUGGUCGGUCGCAAGGCUCGUACUGCACGCGUUGUCCUCACGUGACCGGUACUUCUAAGGUGCUCUUGACCGAGUGUCUGUGUGGUCCGGUAAGUUUACCUUGAAAAAAUUAGAGUGUUCAAAGCAGGCUUAAAGCUUGAAUAAUGUUGCAUGGAAUAAUGGAAUAGGACCUCGGUUCUAUUUUGUUGGUUUUCGGAGCGCGAGGUAAUGAUUAAGAGGAACGGACGGGGGCAUCCGUACUGUGCCGUUAGAGGUGAAAUUCUUGGAUCGGCGCAAGACGAACAACUGCGAAAGCAUUUGCCAAGAAUGUUUUCUUUAAUCAAGAGCGAAAGUCAGAGGUUCGAAGACGAUCAGAUACCGUCCUAGUUCUGACCUUAAACGAUGCCGACUAGCGAUCGGGUUGUGUCGAUAUAAGACCUGCCCGGCAGCUUCCGGGAAACAAAGUCUUUGGGUUCCGGGGGAAGUAUGGUUGAAAGCUGAAACUUAAGGAAUGAGGAGGGAA
rnacentral:rRNA from 1 species